CCUAACACAUGCAAGUCGAGCGGUAACAGGUGUAGCAAUACAUGCUGACGAGCGGCGAACGGGUGAGUAAUGCUUCGGAAUCUACCCAGUAGUGGGGAAUAACCAACCGAAAGGUUGGCUAAUACCGCAUACGUCCUACGGGAGAAAGCGGGGGUCGCAAGACCUCGCGCUAUUGGAUGAGCCGAAGUCGGAUUAGCUAGUUGGUGAGGUAACGGCUCACCAAGGCGACGAUCCGUAGCUGGUCUGAGAGGACGACCAGCCACACUGGGACUGAGACACGGCCCAGACUCCUACGGGAGGCAGCAGUGGGGAAUAUUGGACAAUGGGCGCAAGCCUGAUCCAGCAAUGCCGCGUGUGUGAAGAAGGUCUUCGGAUUGUAAAGCACUUUUGGCAGGGACGAUGAUGACGGUACCUGCAGAAUAAGCCCCGGCUAACUUCGUGCCAGCAGCCGCGGUAAU
rnacentral:rRNA from 1 species